GCUUGUCUCAAAGAUUAAGCCAUGCACGUCUAAGUAUAAGCGAUUAUACUGUGAAACUGCGAAUGGCUCAUUAUAUCAGUUAUAGUUUAUUUGAUGGUCCUUGCUACUUGGAUAACCGUAGUAAUUCUAGAGCUAAUACAUGCAUAAAUCCCCGACUGCUUGGAAGGGGUGUAUUUAUUAGAUGGAAACCAAUCGCGGGGCAACCCAGUAUCUGGUGAUUCAUAAUAACUUUCGGAUCGAUCUUCGGGUCGAUGCAUCAUUCAAGUUUCUGCCCUAUCAGCUUUGGAUGGUAGGGUAUUGGCCUACCAUGGCUUUAACGGGUAACGGAGAAUUAGGGUUCGAUUCCGGAGAGGGAGCCUGAGAAAUGGCUACCACAUCCAAGGAAGGCAG
rnacentral:rRNA from 1 species